UACGUAGGGCGCAAGCGUUAUCCGGAAUUAUUGGGCGUAAAGAGCUCGUAGGCGGUGUGUCGCGUCGGCCGUGAAAACCUGGGGCUUAACUCUGGGCGUGCGGUCGAUACGGGCAUCACUGGAGUUCGGCAGGGGAGACUGGAAUUCCUGGUGUAGCGGUGAAAUGCGCAGAUAUCAGGAGGAACACCGGUGGCGAAGGCGGGUCUCUGGGCCGAUACUGACGCUGAGGUGCGAAAGCGUGGGGAGCAAACAGGG
rnacentral:rRNA from 1 species